AACGUAAUACAAGCGCCAGAGCUUGAUUUUGUGCGGGGGAACUUGGUGGAGAAGCAAUAGAUUCCGUUGAGAUGAUAUUGCUCGCAUCGGUUCACGACAAAGCAAGCUGACGAGGUGAAGGUGUUCGAAACAUUCGGCGGGGACCUUCCGGUGAAGCAUCAACCCGUAAACCGGCAGCGGAAAAUGAACAGGCAACUGUUUACACAACGCACCGGUAGAUGCCCAAAU
rnacentral:ncRNA from 2 species